rnacentral:rRNA from 1 species
UACGAAGGGGGCUAGCGUUGCUCGGAAUUACUGGGCGUAAAGCGCACGUAGGCGGCUUUCUAAGUCAGGGGUGAAAUCCUGGAGCUCAACUCCAGAACUGCCUUUGAUACUGGGAAGCUCGAGUCCGGAAGAGGUGAGUGGAACUCCGAGUGUAGAGGUGAAAUUCGUAGAUAUUCGGAAGAACACCAGUGGCGAAGGCGGCUCACUGGUCCGGUACUGACGCUGAGGUGCGAAAGCGUGGGGAGCAAACAGG